rnacentral:rRNA from 1 species
GUCAGAGUUUGAUCCUGGCUCAGGAUGAACGCUAGCGGCAGGCCUAAUACAUGCAAGUCGAACGGUGAUAGCAAUAUCAUAGUGGCGCACGGGUGCGUAACACGUAUGCAACCUACCUAUUAUUGGGGAUAGCCUUUGGAAACGGAGAUUAAUACCGCAUAAUACGAUUGACUGGCAUCGGUUGAUUGUUAAAGCUUUGGCGAUAAUAGAUGGGCAUGCGUCCAAUUAGUUAGUUGGUUAGGUAACGGCUGACCAAGACGAUGAUUGGUAGGGGAUCUGAGAGGAUAAUCCCCCACACUGGCACUGAGAUACGGGCCAGACUCCUACGGGAGGCAGCAGUAGGGGAAUAUUGGGCAAUGGGGCGGAAGCCUGACCCCAGCCCAUGCCGCGUGCAGGAAGAAGGCGUUAUGCGUUGUAAACUGC